AGAGUUUGAUCCUGGCUCAGGAUGAACGCUGGCGGCGUGCCUAAUACAUGCAAGUCGAGCGAACUUCUUCGGAAGUUAGCGGCGGACGGGUGAGUAACACGUGGGCAACCUGCCUGUAAGACUGGGAUAACUUCGGGAAACCGGAGCUAAUACCGGAUAACAAUAAGUACUGCAUGGUACUUAUUUGAAAGGUGGCUUUU
rnacentral:rRNA from 1 species